rnacentral:rRNA from 1 species
AUGGGCGCAGCCUGAUCCAGCAACGCCGCGUGAGUGAUGAAGGCCUUCGGGUUGUAAACCUCUUUUACCCGGGACGAUAAUGACGGUACCCGGAGAAUAAGCCCCGGCUAACUCCGUGCCAGCAGCCGCGGUAAUCAAA